UGUGGGAAGGUUCUCUGGAAUCGCUACCUAGGAAAUCAGCUGGUGAAAUCAUGCAGUGCAACAGAAAACACAUUUCUGUUCUGUCGUCUUUUCAAUGUCAUUUGCACUCAUUUAAGACAAAUUCCCUUUCAGUGGUUGUGGAUAUUUUUGCAGCCACGUCUAGGGUGUGUGGGUGGGGAUGUGUGAGGAAGAAGAAUCAGUUCACAAACCUUUCUGCCUCCUUCCGCCAGUCGUUAUCCCCAAAUGCAGAUCACAUCAGCAAAAGCAGCUUGGUGCAGAUGCUCCUUUGGCAAGUUGGGGGUGUCUCAUCCUGCAGCCAAGCAAAAUAAGCGAUUAUGUAUUAACCAGUGUGCAAAUCUGCACUGGCAAAAAUAAACCCACAACACAUUUGAGUGAACGGGCGGGGGGAACAAACUAUGCUGCUUAGAGGCUCUGGUCGUCCAUGGAAGAGAUGAGGUGUGUGUGUGUGUGUGUGGCUUCUAUGAAGAAAAGAGGCUUAAAUUGCCCAGAUUUAGCAGUGACUUUUCACUGCAGAGGAGGAUUUCAGUGCUGGGAAUGUGCAGGUCUGGGGCUGCUGACACAGGGACUGAGAAGGGGCUCUCCAGACCAAGUCACGUUAACUGAAAUAAGAGAGCUCGCUGUGAUCCUGACUGUUACCUGAAUCACAUUCAGAUCUUGCUAAACAGUGCAGUGGGCUGAAGCUGGAUCAGUGUCUGACUUAAGAAAGCAGAGAGAGCGCCGAUGGAAGGAAUUUGUGGACUAACCAUUGUGACUAUUUCGAGGGUGUUUUUACACUUCUGCCACGGCUGUUGCGACUGUCAUGAAAAUUAAUCUUGAAUGCAGUGAUGGGACUAAUACUGGAAAGCACUAUUUUAGCAGUAUUUGCCUGCAGCUAAAUCGUUUCAUGCUGGUAAUCUUGAAGACUAGAACAUUUCAGCCAAACUGUCAAAGUAAAGGAUGCCUGUCAUGCAUAUUAUGCUCUUUUGUGCUUCAGCACUACAAAACUGCAGAAGGGAUGUUCAUUGAGGAAGAAUGUGGCAGUGCUGUGGUGUUACUUGAAAUAGACUUGAUGCAGGGUUGCCUUUUAAGCUUGCCAGGGUUGUUGCUUCCACUGAAGUCAUUCAUCUGUGUAAAUUAAGGAAUAGACGUUUUGACUUGAAAGAUUUAGCAUCUUGGCUAAUUAGCUGUAUUAAAAGUGCUCAACAAUAUUAUUUUUGUAUCUGUACCUCUUUCUAAUCACUGUUGCAAGUAGGUUACUGGGUCAUGAUUGCAUUCCUUAAAAUGUACAAGGUUUAGUGUGUAAACUGUGAAAUUUCACAUAGCACUAUACUAUUAGGUUAGAUCUAGGAAUAUACCACUAAAAUCCAAUGGAAUAAGAGUAACCUGAGACUGACAGGUCUAAAAUGAAAGCUGAUCAGUUGAAAAUCCUAUUCUAUUGUAUCUCACAGAAAUUCUCAGGAAUGUUACCUUACAUGUAAUGCAUUCAAAUAAGUUUUUAAAACAAGAACAGUAAAUGUACAUGUUAUGAAAAAAACUGGACUGUAAGAAAACCCUGUAGUCCUUUCCCUUGACAUUAAAAAUUUAUAUUCUA